UACAGAGGGGGCAAGCGUUGUUCGGAAUUACUGGGCGUAAAGGGCGCGUAGGCGGCCUGCUAAGUCGAACGUGAAAUCCCCGGGCUCAACCCGGGAACUGCGUCCGAUACUGGCAGGCUUGAAUUCGGGAGAGGGAUGUGGAAUUCCAGGUGUAGCGGUGAAAUGCGUAGAUAUCAGGAGGAACACCGGUGGCGAAGGCGGGUCUCUGGGCAAUAACUGACGCUGGAGGAGCGAAAGCGUGGGGAGCAAACGGG
rnacentral:rRNA from 1 species